AUCGCGCUGGUGUAGUGGUAGCACAACGGCUUCCAAACCCGUUGGUGUGGGUUCGAUUCCUACGUGCGGUGC
rnacentral:tRNA from 3 species